AGAGUUUGAUCAUGGCUCAGAAUCAACGCUGGCGGCGCGCUAACACAUGCAAGUCGAACGAGAAAGGGGAGCAAUCCUGAGUAAAGUGGCGACCGGGUGAGUAACACGUGACUACCUACCCUUGAGUGGGGGAUAACCUCGGGAAACCGAGGCUAAUACCGCAUAAUAUCGAAAGAUCAAAGGAGUAAUCCGCUUUUGGAGGGGGGUCGCGGCUGAUUAGCUAGUUGGUAAGGUAAUGGCUUACCAAGGCGAAGAUCGGUAUCCGGCCUGAGAGGGCGCACGGACACACUGGAUCUGAAACACGGUCCAGACUCCUACGGGAGGCAGCAGUGGGGAAUUUUGCGCAAUGGGGGAAACCCUGACGCAGCAACGCCGCGUGGAGGAUGAAGCCCCUUGGGGCGUAAACUCCUUUCGACUGGGAAGAUUAUGACGGUACCAGUGGAAGAAGCACCGGCUAACUCUGUGCCAGCAGCCGCGGUAAUACAGAGGGUGCGAGCGUUGUUCGGAAUUAUUGGGCGUAAAGGGCGCGUAGGCGGUAUUGUAAGUCACCUGUGAAACCUCUAGGCUUAACCUAGAGCCUGCAGGCGAAACUGCAAUGCUGGAGGGUGGGAGAGGUGCGUGGAAUUCCCGG
rnacentral:rRNA from 1 species